AUGAGCCGCCCGCACGCGGUGCUUAUCCCGUACCCGGCGCAGGGCCACGUGACGCCGCUGCUGAACCUCGCCAAGGUGCUGCACUCGAGGGGCUUCUACGUCACCUUCGUCAACUCGGAGUACAACCACCGGCGCCUGCUCCGGUCGCGCGGCGAGGACUCGCUGGCCGGCCUCGACGACUUCCGGUUCGAGACCAUCCCGGACGGCCUGCCGCCGAUGGAGAACGAGGACGUCACGCAGGACGUCCCCGCGCUCUGCACGUCCUUCGCCACGCACGGCGCCGCGCUCUUCAGGGAGCUCCUGGCGAGGAUCGACGGCGACGGGAGGCCGCCGGUGAGCUGCGUGGUAACGGACGGGGUGAUGAGCUUCGCGCUGGAGGUGGCCGGCGAGAGGGGCGUCCCGGCGUUGGUGUUCUGGACCACCAGCGCGUGUGGGUUCAUGGGGUACCUCCACUUCUUCGAGCUCGUCGAGAGAGGCUUCGUGCCACUCAAAGAUGAGAGCUACCUGACCAACGGAUACCUCGACACGGCGCUCGACUGGGUGGCCGGGAUGCCGGGCAUAAGGCUGCGAGACUUCCCCAGCUUCGUCCGCACGACCGAGCGGGACGACGUCAUGCUCAACUUCGACGGCGGCGAGGCGCAGAACGCGCACCGCGCGCAGGGCGUCAUCCUCAACACGUUCGACGCGGUGGAGCAGGACGUGGUGGACGCGCUCCGCGGCAUCUUCCCGCGCGUGUACACGGUCGGCCCGCUCCCGGCGUUCGCGGUGACCGCGGCGCGGGCGCGGCCGGAGCUGGGCGCGAUCGGCGGCAACCUCUGGAAGGAGGACACGAGCUGCCUCCGGUGGCUGGAUGCCCAGAAGCAGCCAGGCUCGGUCGUGUACGUCAACUUUGGCAGCAUCACCGUCAUGUCGCCGGCCCACCUGGCGGAGUUCGCGUGGGGCCUGGCGCGCUGCGGGCGGCCGUUCCUGUGGGUCAUCAGGCCGGACCUCGUGGCCGGCGACAAGGCCGUGCUGCCGGAGGAUUUUCUCGCCGAGACGAAGGGCCGAGGGAUCUUCCUGAGCUGGUGCCCGCAGGAAGAGGUGCUGGGGCAUCCGGCGACCGGGCUGUUCCUGACGCACUCCGGGUGGAACUCGACGCUGGAGAGCAUCUGCGCGGGCGUGCCGAUGGUCUGCUGGCCCUUCUUCGCGGAGCAGACGACCAACUGCCGGUACGCCUGCGCCGAGUGGGGCAUCGGGCUGGAGAUCGAUAGCGAUGUCAAGCGGGAGGAGGUGGCAAGGCUCGUGCUGGAGGCCACGGACGGCGAGAGAGGCAAGGACAUGAGAGCGAAGGCGACGAUGUGGAAGGAGAAGGCCGCGGCGGCGGCAGAGGACGGCGGGACUUCGACCCUUGGCAUCGACCGCCUCGUCGCAUUCUUGCUUGGAGGGACCGAUGGUCCUCAAAGCUGA
rnacentral:rRNA from 1 species